CUACGGAGGGAGCAAGCGUUAUUCGGAAUCACUGGGCGUAAAGGACGCGUAGCGGGUUUGUAAGUCAGGUGUGAAAUCCUACAGCUCAACUGUAGAACUGCACUUGAAACUACAGACCUAGAGUAUGGAAGGGGCAGAUGGAAUUAGUGGUGUAGGGGUAAAAUCCGUAGAUAUCACUAGGAAUACCGAAAGCGAAGGCGAUCUGCUGGGACAUUACUGACGCUGAGGCGUGAAAGCGUGGGGAGCAAACAGGAUUAGAAACCCUAGUAGUCC
rnacentral:rRNA from 1 species